CCCUUAGAUGUUCUGGGCCGCACGCGUGCUACACUGAGUGGAUCAGCGGGUCAGGUUGCGCGAAAGCGUUUCCUAAUCUUUAAAUCCGCUCGUGAUGGGGAUUGACGGUUGAAAUUUUCUGUCAUGAACGAGGAAUACCUUGUAAGCGCGGGUCAUCAUCCCGCGCUGAAUACGUCCCUGCCCUUUGUACACACCGCCCGUCGCUCCUACCGAUUGAGUGGUCCGGUGAGGCUUUGGGAUCUGAGCGGAAAGAGCGUUUCGCUGUUUCUGCUCGGAAAACUCAGUCGAACCUUAUCAUUUAGAGGAAGGAGAAGUCGUAACA
rnacentral:rRNA from 1 species